CAUCAUCUCCCUCCCAUCCUCCCAUCCUCUCAUCCUCCCUCCCUCCCUCCCUCCCUCCCUCCAUCUAUCCCGAUCCGUGCUGGACGAGGGGAGGAAAGUGGAAAGUCAGCCAUUCGCGCCCAGCUCCGGACUCGGUCCCUCGCAUCGCGGAUCUCUCCCGUCCCGUCUCCCGUCUCCCGUCUCACGUCCAGUCUCCCGUCCCGCCUGGCGGAGGUCCGCGCCGGACGCGGUUCGAACAGUGCAUUUACCCAAAGCCUCUUUGGCUUCAGAGGCGCUCAGUGAGGAUUUUAGCGGCUCUUCCCGUGGCCCUGUGCACCUCCACGAACGAAGGACCAACUGGGACUACAGCGUGAAACCUUCUAGCAGGUGGAAAACAAAGGACAUCCUCAUCCUCCACGUUCGGUGUCUGAACUUGAACAUUUGGAAGACAGGAGGGAAAAUAGCAGGUUUGGAUCUACAUUUUGGCUCAUCCAGUCUUUUCUGGGGAAUAAAGUGUUGGAUAGACUAUGAGGAAAAACUGUGACUAUUCAGCACUGUAGCAAAACAGGAAAUUCUCAAACAUGGGGACUGCACCAGAUACCAUGUCUGUUCUGAAACUGUGAAACGGGAACUGCUCUUGAACCUUUUCCUUCAAACCUUCACUGUCAGGGACAAGCCAGUGACUCGCCUCUCUUACUGUCCUUCAAUCCCCACCACACUUUUUUUUCAUUUGGAAAGCAGCCCUUUACCCC
ensembl:lncRNA